rnacentral:rRNA from 1 species
UUGGGCCUACGGGAGGCAGCAGUGAGGAAUAUUGGUCAAUGGGCUUACGCCUGAACCAGCCAAGUCGCGUGAGGGAAGACUGCCCUAUGGGUUGUAAACCUCUUUUGUCAGGGAGCAACGCCGGCUACGUGUAGCCGGACUGAGAGUACCUGAAGAAAAAGCAUCGGCUAACUCCGUGCCAGCAGCCGCGGAAAUACGGAGGAUGCGAGCGUUAUCCGGUUUUAUUGGGUUUAAAGGGUGCGUAGGUGGAAUGCCAAGUCAGCGGUAAAAUCGCGGGGCACAACCU